rnacentral:rRNA from 1 species
UACCAGCUCCCCGAGUGGUCAGGACGAUUAUUGGGCCUAAAGCAUCCGUAGCCUGCUCAGUAGGUCUCAUGUUAAAUCCACCGGCUCAACCGUUGGUCUGCAUGGGAUACCGCUGGGCUAGGAGGCGGGAGAGGCGGACGGUAUUCCUUGGGUAGGGGUAAAAUCCUUUGAUCCAGGGAGGACCACCAGUGGCGAAGGCGGUCCGCCAGAACGCGCUCGACGGUGAGGGAUGAAAGCUGGGGGAGCGAACCGG